AGAGAGCUUAAAAAUGUCCUUAGGAGGUUCAAGUUUUUCCGUGCCUGUGUGAGGUAACUCACUCCGUGGACACCCUCCCCACCUCCAACCAUUCUUCUGUAAAAUUUAUAUUUCUUGCUAACACUCUUGGAGUUGGGGUUAUUUAGAGUUUAUUUGAACAACUAUCUUAAACAUAUAAUUAUAACACAUUUAUUUGACAUUUAUAGAGCUCUAAUUGUGUGCAAGGAACUGUGCAAGAUGCUAGGGCAACAGCAGUCAACAAAGGAGACACAUAGUCCUAGCCUCAUGGAAGGUACAGCCAAGCAGGGGUGACACAUGGUAGGUCAGUGCUGGGAAAGACAAACAUGGUAUGCUGAGGACAUGGAACAAUCAAGGGCAUCCAGCUUGACUUAAUGGAAUGUGUUUUUAUUCACCCAUUGGAAAAGCCUUUGCUACAUAUUAAUACAAACUUCUCAUUAAUAAACCCUCCUUUUUUUUUUUUUUGAGACGGAGUCUCGCUCUGUCGCUCAGGUACGAUCUCGACUCACUGUAACCUCCUCCGCCUGGGGUCAAGCAAUUCUCCCGUCUCAGCCUCCUGAGUACCUGGGAUUACAGGUGCACGCCACCAUGCCCAGCCACUAAUAAAUCCUUCUUUAAGUAAGAAAAUAAUAUAACAUGAGCAUAACUUUGCAUGAAUUUUAAUGUCCUGGAGGCUUGUUGCUUUGUAUAAAGUGCAGGUCAGUAAAAAUUAAAAUGAGGUAAUGUGGUAUAAUACGAUUAACCCAGUAAGGGUACAAUAAAGGAUGGCUAUUAUUAUUAUUAUAUUGUUAUUAUUAUUUUGAGACAGAGUUUUGCUCAGUCACCCAGGUUACAGUGCAAU
rnacentral:lncRNA from 10 species